CGCGAGUUCUAUCGGGUAAA
rnacentral:snRNA from 1 species